GACGAACUCUGGUAUUGAUUGGUGCUUGCAUCAUGAUUUACAUUUGAGUGAGUGGCGAACUGGUGAGUAACACGUGGGAAACCUGCCCAGAAGCGGGGGAUAACACCUGGAAACAGAUGCUAAUACCGCAUAACAACUUGGACCGCAUGGUCCGAGUUUGAAAGAUGGCUUCGGCUAUCACUUUUGGAUGGUCCCGCGGCGUAUUAGCUAGAUGGUGAGGUAACGGCUCACCAUGGCAAUGAUACGUAGCCGACCUGAGAGGGUAAUCGGCCACAUUGGGACUGAGACACGGCCCAAACUCCUACGGGAGGCAGCAGUAGGGAAUCUUCCACAAUGGACGAAAGUCUGAUGGAGCAACGCCGCGUGAGUGAAGAAGGGUUUCGGCUCGUAAAACUCUGUUGUUAAAGAAGAACAUAUCUGAGAGUAACUGUUCAGGUAUUGACGGUAUUUAACCAGAAAGCCACGGCUAACUACGUGCCAGCAGCCGCGGUAAUACGUAGGUGGCAAGCGUUGUCCGGAUUUAUUGGGCGUAAAGCGAGCGCAGGCGGUUUUUUAAGUCUGAUGUGAAAGCCUUCGGCUCAACCGAAGAAGUGCAUCGGAAACUGGGAAACUUGAGUGCAGAAGAGGACAGUGGAACUCCAUGUGUAGCGGUGAAAUGCGUAGAUAUAUGGAAGAACACCAGUGGCGAAGGCGGCUGUCUGGUCUGUAACUGACGCUGAGGCUCGAAAGUAUGGGUAGCAAACAGGAUUAGAUACCCUGGUAGUCCAUACCGUAAACGAUGAAUGCUAAGUGUUGGAGGGUUUCCGCCCUUCAGUGCUGCAGCUAACGCAUUAAGCAUUCCGCCUGGGGAGUACGGCCGCAAGGCUGAAACUCAAAGGAAUUGACGGGGGCCCGCACAAGCGGUGGAGCAUGUGGUUUAAUUCGAAGCUACGCGAAGAACCUUACCAGGUCUUGACAUACUAUGCAAAUCUAAGAGAUUAGACGUUCCCUUCGGGGACAUGGAUACAGGUGGUGCAUGGUUGUCGUCAGCUCGUGUCGUGAGAUGUUGGGUUAAGUCCCGCAACGAGCGCAACCCUUAUUAUCAGUUGCCAGCAUUAAGUUGGGCACUCUGGUGAGACUGCCGGUGACAAACCGGAGGAAGGUGGGGAUGACGUCAAAUCAUCAUGCCCCUUAUGACCUGGGCUACACACGUGCUACAAUGGAUGGUACAACGAGUUGCGAACUCGCGAGAGUAAGCUAAUCUCUUAAAGCCAUUCUCAGUUCGGAUUGUAGGCUGCAACUCGCCUACAUGAAGUCGGAAUCGCUAGUAAUCGCGGAUCAGCAUGCCGCGGUGAAUACGUUCCCGGGCCUUGUACACACCGCCCGUCACACCAUGAGAGUUUGUAACACCCAAAGUCGGUGG
rnacentral:rRNA from 2 species